rnacentral:rRNA from 1 species
CCCUUAGAUGUUCUGGGCCGCACGCGCGCUACACUGAAUGGAUCAACGUGUUUUCCCUUCCCGAGAGGGACGGGUAACCCGCUGAACCCCAUUCGUGGUAGGGAUCGGAGCUUGCAAUUGUUCUCCGUGAACCAGGAAUUCCCAGUAAGCGCAAGUCAUAAGCUUGCGUUGAUUACGUCCCUGCCCUUUGUACACACCGCCCGUCGCUACUACCGAUUGGACGUUUUAGUGAGGAUUUUGGACUGAGCCAAUGGUGGUUCACACCACUGUUGUGCAUGGAAAGAUCUCCAAACUUGAGCGUUUAGAGGAAGUAAAAGUCGUAACA